CAGAACACCGCCGCCUCCACUCCCCCACCAACAACACCUCCUCCCCAGCACCCAACUCUUUCUCCAGUGCCAGAUCGGCCGCCGCCGCCUUUUCUCCUGCACCAGCUCCGACCCGACGCCGCCCCACCGGUUGACCUCGCCGUCGACACAGCCGGUUCUGCAACGCCGGCCCUACCGCAGCUCCCCCACAUGGUGCGCGACGACGAGGCCCAGAAGGUGCGCUCCGGCAUGUGCUCGCCCUGCCGCGACGACUUACCUUGACCCCGCCGACCGCCCAGGACCUCCUCGGCCGGCAUCCAAAGGGAGAGAAAUUUGACGCCCAAUGGAGUGGAUCAUCAGGUCGGCGGAGGAGGGACGAAGGGUGCUGGUGGUGCAGGCCGGCAGCGCCCGCGCUCCCAGGUGAAGGGCGGCGACCAUGGCCUUGGCCUUGGCGCGGCUGUGGCGCCUCCAUGACCAUGAGCAGCCCGGGUGCUCCAAAGGUGAAGGGUGGCGGCCAUGGGAAGAUGUUGGUGCAGGUUCGAGAGAUCGCAUGCCCGUGCUCACAAGGCGACGGCCAUGGCGACGGUGGGAGUAGAGGGAGCUGUGGUGGCGUAGGGCGUAGGGGAAGCAGAGCAACUGGAUCUGAGCAUCCGGACUCUGCCAUACACCGUGAGCCCCUUGUUGUUUAGAUCUGGCUAUUCACGAUGCAAGGAUUCGUUGGAUUUUUCCGCUUCUCUAUGUAAUUACUUCUUCUGUUUUUAAUCUUUGUUGCUCCCUGAGAUGGAUUCGUUGCAGAUCUAGCCCUUAUGUGUUACUACAGCGAAAAUUAUUCUCAGUUCUUCAUUGUCUA